CAGUGGCCCUGGGGGUCUCCUCCAGCUCCACCUCAUGACACCCCGUGCUGCUGCGUGACUGCUCCUGGUGCCAAGGCCACCGCUGCCAUGAGUCUGAAUGGCUAAUGCUGAGAUUAGCAGGGCCUCCCUUCUACUGGCCUGUCCUCCUGGCUCUCCUCCCUUUUGCCUCUUCUGGAUUUCAGGGAGCUUUUCUGUGCCAAACCAGGAAUCACAGACAUGCAGGGGCAAGAGGGUCUACUCUAGCACGGAUUAAGACGACCUCCUAAAGCCAUCUUAUGCCCAAGUAAAUAAGUAUCCAAUAAACAGACAAUAUCUCAACAGAAAAACAGCACCCACUGAACUCAAGUGACCUGCAACUUUCCUGAAAACCUAUAUGGCAAGGACAGACAAUAAAGCCAGCUAGAGAAUGAA
rnacentral:lncRNA from 1 species